GAUGAACGCUGGCGGUAUGCUUAAUACAUGCAAGUCGAACGAAAUCUUCGGAGUUAGUGGCGGACGGAUGAAUAACGCGUGAGAAUCUGGCUUUGGGUUCGGGACAACCACUGGAAACGGUGGCUAAUACCGGAUGUGCCGCGAGGUAACAGAGAAAUGGACUGAAUAUGAGUUAGCGUCUGAUUAGAUAUUUGUUGAGGUAAAGGCUCACCAAGGCAGCGAGCAGUAGCUGGUCUGAGAGGAUGAACAGCCAAAAUGGGACUGAGAAACGGCCCAGACGCCUACGCGAGGAAGCAGGGGAGAAUGUUCCGCAAAGGGCGAAUGCCUGACGGAGCAAUACCGAGUGAGAGAAGAAGUCUCUUGGGUUGUAAACCUCUGUUCUUAGGUAAGAACAAAAUGACGGUACCUAAGGAAACAGCAUCGGCUAACUCCGUG
rnacentral:rRNA from 1 species